rnacentral:rRNA from 1 species
GAUCCUGGCUCAGGAUGAACGCUGGCGGCGUGCCUAACACAUGCAAGUCGAACGAAGCUCUUCAGACGGCGAAUUCGUCAAAGUCUGAAGAUGACUGAGUGGCGGACGGGUGAGUAACGCGUGGGCAACCUGCCCUUAUCUGGGGGGAUAGCAGACGGAAACGACUGGUAAUACCGCAUAAGCGCACGGUAAGGCAUCUUACAGUGUGAAAAGAUUUAUUGGAUAGGGAUGGACCCGCGUCUGAUUAGAUAGGUUGGUGAGGUAACGGCUCACCAAGUCGACGAUCAGUAGCCGGACUGAGAGGUCGGACGGCCACAUUGGGGACUGAGAGACGGCCCAAACUCCUACGGGAGGCAGCAGUGGGGGAUAUUGCACAAUGGGCGGAAGCCUGAUGCAAGCGACGCCGCGUGAGUGAAGAAGUAUUUCGGUAUGUAAAGCUCAAUCAACCGGGAAGAAAGGCCCCGUAAGGGGAGAUGACGGUACCGGAACAGAAGCCCCGGCUAACUACGUGCCAGCCGCCGC